CCACUAACCAAUGCUCACAAGCAGAAACAACUGCAUUGGGCAGAAAAAUACAUGAAGACUAAUUUUCAAACAGUCCUGUUCACUGAUGAGUGUCAUGCAACCCUGGAUGGUCCAGAUGGAUGGAGUAGUGGAUGGCUGGUGGACGGCCACCCUGUUCCAACAAGGCUGCAACGUCAGCAAGGUGGUGGUGGAGUCAUGUUUUAUGCCGGAAUCAUGGGAAGAGAGCUGGUAGGCCCCUUUAGGGUCCCCAAAGGUGUAAAUAUGACCUCUGCAAAGUAUGUGGAGUUUCUGACUGACCACUUUCUUCCCUGGUACAUAAGGAAGAACUAUGCUUUCCGUAAUAAAAAUCAUCUUCAUGCAUGACAAUGCACCAACUCAUGCUACAAAGA